AUGAUCCCAAACCCAACGGGACCCCAGACUCAGGAGACCCCAACCCCAUGUUGGGGUGACGGAGACCCCAACCCCAACGGGGUCCCGUGUUGGGGUGACGGAGACCCAACCUCAACAGGGUCUCACGUUGGGCUGACGGAACCCCCAACCCCAACGGGGUCCCGUGUUGGGCUGACGGAGACCCCAACCCCAAUGGGGUCCCGUGUUGGGCUGACGGAGACCCCAACUCCAACGGGACCCAGAGCUCAUGAGACCCCAACCCCAACAGGGUGUUGGGUUGACGGAGACCCCAACCCCAACGGGGUCCCACGUUGGCUUGACGGAGACCCAACCUCAACGGGGUCUCGUGUUGGGCUGACGGAGCCCCCAACCCCCCGUGCCCCCCAUCCGACGCCCCCCGCCCGCAGCUCAGUCCCAGUCGGUGGGCUCACAGAUGCUGAGCGGGGCGGCGUUGCGGCGCCCGGCGCGGAUGCCGGGGUAGAAGAGCGGCCAUAUUUUCUCGGUGAAGGUGUCGGUGAAGGUGUAGAGGUGCGAGCGGUCGGUGACGUUGUAGAAGGAAACCUCCCCCGCCUCGUAGUCCACGAAGACCCCCACCCUGGUGGGCUUCACCCUGGGGCUGAGGGGGGUGAAGGGGGCGGUGGUGGCGGCGUAGCGAUCGCCGUUCCAAAGCCGGACCCUCCAAAAUCCGCUCUCGGGCAGCGCCGCCGGCUCCCCGUUGCGACACACCGAGUCCCCGCAGACCCCCAGCGCCCAGUGGGUUUUGUGGCCCACCUCCACCUCCCAGUAAUGGCGGCCCGACGUGAAGCCCCUGGAGCCCAGCACGCACGGGUAGGUGGUGAAGCGGCGGCUGCUGGCCGCCAGGUGGCGCUGGCGGCUCUCGAUGAAACGGACGCUUUUCCGGUCGGGGGAUAAAAGGAGGUUGGGGUGCGCGGUGUCGGGGUCCAG
rnacentral:lncRNA from 1 species